UGCGAGCGGCGAAAAACAGUGCGAGGCCCAGCUGCUGGACGAGAGGUUUACUUGCGAUAAAAACGAAACUUAACAAUUUCAGACACAGACAUAGACCGUAGAACUUCCGUAUCCCUGGCCAUUAGUGCAACUGGACGUUAUUUAUACCCUAUUUUUAAAGUCGAGGUCUUAGCUGCUAAGCUAAAAGUGUUAGCACACACACCCUGCCUGAAGUGGCUGCACGAGCUCCAAUGCACCUUGAUGUCUUUCCAAAUAAAUCUCGUGGCUUCCCUUUGAAUUACUCGGGACGAGUUGUGUGGAGCCUUAUUGUGUUUUUUCAGGUGUUUACUGACGUUUUAAAACCAGUCCGCAUACACGUCAGCUGCUGAAAGCUGCAACAACGUCUCGCUGAGGAGCUCCGAGGACGUUUCGUGGACUACGAAACUUCACCUGCCUCUCCGUCUGCGUGAAGGUUUGCUGAUGCCUGAUGGGUCCAGAGCGGAACCAGGAAGAGGGAGGUGACUCCCCUCUCAACGGCCCCUGACAGUGGAUACACGUUUUGGAUGUUAUAACAGCGUCUUAGAAUAACACUGUUGCACAACAGCAUACGACUCUGCUGUACCCUAUGGACCCUGACGUGAGGAAAUCAGCGAUGGAUGGGUGGACUGAGGAAUGGCCAGAGCGAGGUGCAAAUAGAUUAUAGGAGAAAAGGGGGGGAUUUAAACUGAACACGGAUGAAAAGACACUUCGACUCCCUGCUGUCUGAGGUUCGUUUUCUCUGCCACCUUUGUGUGAAGUGAAAUGGCUUCGGCCUUUUCUGUCUGAGAAACUGUAAUUUCUUUUUCCGUCAGUACAAAAAGAGACACGUCCGUGACGUUUCAUCCAACAGCCUCUCCUUCAACCUUCUCCCAAGUCACCAUUUUACAUCUCAUUAGAAGAGUGAGCGAGUGAUCAAUGUUCCUGUCAGACCAGGGCUGCAUCACUGUAUUUACAGACAGCAGUACAGUCUAAUCUGUUCUCUUUCAAAGGGACAGCAGUUUGUCACCAAGAAUUCAAAAGUUAAUUUUUUGGACUGACACAACAUUUUUGGUGCAGAUAUUCAUGGUUACCGGAGGAUGAAUCCUUAUGACGCUUGUGAUCCACUACAGCGCCACCCUGAAUUUGACCUUUUUGGUUUUGAUUUCGUGACUACAACUGAAUGGAUUGUCAUGACAUUUGAAGCAGACUUUCACGUCCCCCACAGGAGGAGUCGCAAUAAGAGCCGUGUUUCCGUGACAUGUAAUGCCGUCAUGGGAUAAUUCUUUUUCUAAUUUGUCCUUUAGUUGUGUUUCCUGUGUUUCCGGAAGCUAACAUGGCACGAACAUUUUAGUGUUGUUGCUGUGAGAAUGUGAGCAUGCUGAUGUUAGCAUCGAGCUAAAACCACUGCUCUGCUUAAAUGACCAGUUAGCCGUUGCUCUGUACACCAGGGUAACAGCUAAUGGCUAACUUGGCAAACUAGAUGCUAUAGUGACUCACUCUGGCCUCUUGAGGACAGUUGUGUUGUAUUCUUGGACAGAAGGGAUCACCACCAUGAGCAGGUGAGACCUGAAUUGGUAUGUAGGUAAAAUGAAUUGGAAAGGUGGCGACCGUCCCCCCGAAGAUCACAAUUUGUCAUGUAUUCUAGCAUGUUGGUGUCAUUACAUCAUCUGGUUUCCUGAGUGGUUAUAAUCAGUAAUUUUGCCUCGGCUAUUCCCAAGCUUGUUUCUGCCUCUUUAACUGUCUCCCAUGUCCAUUUUUCUCUGUCCUUCAUCAGUUUCUUGUGGUCUUUUCAUAAACUUUAACAGUGAUCCAAGGCUUCAUCUGGCUUGUUUCCCCACGAUAAACCUUCAAACUCAUGGCCCUCUCGCGGCGAUGCUUAACACUGAAGUCUUGUACAAAAAUAAAUAAAAUCUUCAAGUGAAAAGAAAAAUAAAAAGACACGUGCAGGUA